CGCGUAGGUGGCGUGAUAAGGGUGUGGUGAAAGCCCGGGGCUCAACCCCGGGUCUGCCAUGCCGACUGUCAGGCUCGAGUACUGUAGGGGCAGGCGGAAUUCCGGGUGUAGCGGUGGAAUGCGUAGAGAUCCGGAGGAAGACCGGUGGCGAAGGCGGCCUGCUGGGCAGUUACUGACACUGAUGCGCGACAGCGUGGGGAGCAAACA
rnacentral:rRNA from 1 species